rnacentral:rRNA from 1 species
GCCCAAUAUCUAGCCUAAAUCCACCAUAUGUUUAUUCUAUACUAAUCUUUUAAGCCAAAACAUUUUAACUUUAAAGUAGAGGCGAUCGAAAAAAAUACUUAGCGCUUAAGAUAAAGUACCGCAAGGGAAAGCUGAAAUAAAAAUGAAAUAACUUUAAGCCACCUAUAGCAGAGAUUAAUACUCGUACU